rnacentral:rRNA from 1 species
GAUGAACGCUGGCGGCGUGCUUAACACAUGCAAGUCGAACGGAAAGGCCCCUUUGGGGGUACUCGAGUGGCGAACGGGUGAGUAACACGUGAGUAACCUGCCCUUGACUUCGGGAUAACUUCAGGAAACUGGGGCUAAUACCGGAUAGGAAUCCUUGCUGCAUGGUGGGGGUUGGAAAGCUUCGGCGGUUUUGGAUGGACUCGCGGCUUAUCAGCUUGUUGGUGGGGUAGUGGCUUACCAAGGCUUUGACGGGUAGCCGGCCUGAGAGGGCGACCGGCCACAUUGGGCCUGAGAUACGGCCCAGACUCCUACGGGAGGCAGCAGUGGGGAAUAUUGCACAAUGGGCGGAAGCCUGAUGCAGCAACGCCGCGUGCGGGAUGACGGCCUUCGGGUUGUAAACCGCUUUCAGCAGGGGCGAAGCUUGUGGUGACGGUACCUGCAGAAGAAGCACCGGCUAACUACGUG